CAUAGGUUAAUGAGGCGAACCGGGGGAACUGAAACAUCUAAGUACCCCGAGGAAAAGAAAUCAACCGAGAUUCCCCCAGUAGCGGCGAGCGAACGGGGAGGAGCCCAGAGCCUGAAUCAGUGUGUGUGUUAGUGGAAGCGUCUGGAAAGGCGCGCGAUACAGGGUGACAGCCCCGUACACAAAAAUGCACAUACUGUGAGCUCGAUGAGUAGGGCGGGACACGUGGUAUCCUGUCUGAAUAUGGGGGGACCAUCCUCCAAGGCUAAAUACUCCUGACUGACCGAUAGUGAACCAGUACCGUGAGGG
rnacentral:rRNA from 1 species